AUUGAACGCUGGCGGCAGGCCUAACACAUGCAAGUCGAACGAGUGGCGGACGGGUGAGUAAUGUCUGGGAAACUGCCUGAUGGAGGGGGAUAACUACUGGAAACGGUAGCUAAUACCGCAUACCAUCGGAUGUGCCCAGAUGGGAUUAGCUAGUAGGGGGGGUAACGGCGCACCUAGGCGACGAUCCCUAGCUGGUCUGAGAGGAUGACCAGCCACACUGGAACUGAGACACGGUCCAGACGCCUACGGGAGGCAGCAGUGGGGAAUAUUGCACAAUGGGCGCAAGCCUGAUGCAGCAAUGCCGAGUGGAUGAAGAAGGCCUUCGGGUUGUAAAGUACUUUCAGCGGGGAGGCGUUACCCGCAGAAGAAGCACCGGCUAACUCCGUGCCAGCAGCCGCGGUAAUUC
rnacentral:rRNA from 1 species